rnacentral:rRNA from 1 species
AUUGAACGCUGGCGGCAGGCCUAACACAUGCAAUUCGAGCUGAGCGGCGGACGGGUGAGUAAUGACUAGGAAUCUGCCUGGUAGUGGGAGAUAACGUCCGGAAACUGGCGCUAAUACCGCAUCCUAUCAGAUGAGCCUAGGUCGGAUUAGCUAGUUGGUGGGGUAAAGGCCUACCAAGGGCACGAUCCGUAAAUGGUUUGAGAGGAUGAUCAGUCACACGUGAAAUGAGACACGGUCCAGAAUCCUACGGGAGGCAGCAGUGGGGAAUAUGGGACAAUGGGCGAAAGCAUGAUCCAGCCAUGCCGCGUGUGUGAAGAAGUUCGUCGGAUUGUAAAGCACUUUAAGUUGGGAGGCGUUACCAACAGAAUAAGCACCGGCUAACUUCGUGCCAGCAGCCGCGGUAAUAC